AGUGAACGCUGGCGGUAGGCCUAACACAUGCAAGUCGAACGGCAGCACAGAGGAGCUUGCUCCUUGGGUGGCGAGUGGCGGACGGGUGAGGAAUACAUCGGAAUCUACUCUGUCGUGGGGGAUAACGUAGGGAAACUUACGCUAAUACCGCAUACGACCUACGGGUGAAAGCAGGGGAUCUUCGGACCUUGCGCGAUUGAAUGAGCCGAUGUCGGAUUAGCUAGUUGGCGGGGUAAAGGCCCACCAAGGCGACGAUCCGUAGCUGGUCUGAGGGGAUGAUCAGCCCCACGGUAACUGAGACACGGUCCAGACUCCUACGGGAGGCAGCAGUGGGGAAUCUUGGACAAUGGGCGCAAGCCUGAUCCAGCCAUACCGCGUGGGUGAAGAAGGCCUUCGGGUUGUAAAGCCCUUUUGUUGGGAAAGAAAUCCAUCUGGUUAAUACCCGGGUGGGAUGACGGUACCCAAAGAAUAAGCACCGGCUAACUUCGUGCCAGCCGCCGCCGUAA
rnacentral:rRNA from 1 species